ensembl:snoRNA
GUUGAGGUCUAUCCCGAUAGAGCCUCUCCUGUAGGUUCAUGUCGUUGGAAAUACCUCAUAGAGCAAACUUGUGGUUUCGCUUUACCCAUUGAACUAUUUGUUAGCUCUGUGGGAUAAAACUGCAAGACAGAU